rnacentral:rRNA from 1 species
UACGUAGGGGGCAAGCGUUGUCCGGAAUCAUUGGGCGUAAAGAGCGUGUAGGCGGCCCGGUAAGUCCGCUGUGAAAGUCGGGGGCUCAACCCUCGAAAGCCGGUGGAUACUGUCGGGCUAGAGUGCGGGAGAGGCGAGUGGAAUUCCUGGUGUAGCGGUGAAAUGCGCAGAUAUCAGGAGGAACACCGAUGGCGAAGGCAGGUCUCUGGGCCACUACUGACGCUGAGAAGCGAAAGCAUGGGGAGCGAACAGG